CAGAACGGUGGCGGCAGCGGCCUUCUCGAAAUAGACGAGAAGCCCGGCCCUCCAAACUCGUCCGAAAAUAAAACAGGUUUCUUCGUUGGGAGCUGCCGCGAGUCGUCCAAUUGGUCGGCAUGGACUGACGGAAGAGCGAGUCGUGUAUUAAAUCCGAGACAAGGCGGAGACUGUGCGGAGACGAGCCGUGAUUUAUUUCCGAUUAUUCUUCUCUCAUAUAUACGGUGUUAAAAAGAAGGCCUUACGAUCAAACUAAAGAAACGAGAUUUAAACUGAUUGACAUAUGGCGGAGAAUUAUUAUCAGAUGGGUAUACAUAUCGAUCGAAAUCGUUACUCGAAUAAUCUGAUAGAUGUUCGGAGAAAAAUGGCCCAGAAGGAUAUGAAUUUGGAAAGGAAUUCGAAUAAAAAUUGUAUCUUUCAUCGGGAUAAAAAUUGGCAGGUCUUUCGUAAGAAUCAGAUGGUCGCUUGUCGCCGAGCACAGCAAUUAUUUGAUCCGGACGAUCGGCCCCAUUUUGUUGAGACGAUCCACUAAUAAGAGAUUGUAAUUUCAAAGGAUCAAGAAAAGGAUAGAAUCCCA